rnacentral:rRNA from 1 species
UACGGAUGAUCCGAGCGUUAUCCGGAUUUAUUGGGUUUAAAGGGUGCGCAGGCGGGAGAUUAAGUCGGCGGUGAAAUUUUGCAGCUCAACUGUAAAAGUGCCUUCGAAACUGGUUUCCUUGAGUGUAGAUGAAGUAGGCGGAAUUUGUGGUGUAGCGGUGAAAUGCAUAGAUAUCACGAGGAACUCCGAUUGCGCAGGCAGCUUACUAAACUACUACUGACGCUCAGGCACGAAGGCGUGGGGAUCAAACAGGAUUAGAUACCCCUGUA